rnacentral:rRNA from 1 species
CCUACGGGUGGCAGCAGUGAGGGAUAUUGGUCAAUGGGGGAAACCCUGAACCAGCAACGCCGCGUGAGGGAAGACGGUUUUCGGAUUGUAAACUUCUUUUCUCAGGGACGAAGAAAGUGACGGUACCUGAGGAAUAAGCCACGGCUAACUACGUGCCAGCAGCCGCGGUAAUACGUAGGUGGCAAGCGUUAUCCGGAUUUACUGGGUGUAAAGGGCGUGUAGGCGGGAAAGCAAGUCAGAUGUGAAAACCAUGGGCUCAACCUGUGGCCUGCAUUUGAAACUGUUUUUCUUGAGUACUGGAGAGGCAGACGGAAUUCCUCGUGUAGCGGUGAAAUGCGUAGAUAUGAGGAGGAACACCAGUGGCGAAGGCGGUCUGCUGGACAGCAACUGACGCUGAGGCGCGAAAGCGUGGGGAGCAAACAGGAUUAGAUACCCUGGUAGUC